rnacentral:rRNA from 1 species
CAGCCGCCACGGGAAUACGUAGGGUGCGUGCGUUAAUCGGAAUUACUGGGCGUAAAGCGUGCGCAGGCGGUUCGUUAAGACAGAUGUGAAAUCCCCGGGCUUAACCUGGGAACUGCAUUUGUGACUGGCGAGCUAGAGUAUGGCAGAGGGGGGUAGAAUUCCACGUGUAGCAGUGAAAUGCGUAGAGAUGUGGAGGAAUACCGAUGGCGAAGGCAGCCCCCUGGGCCAAUACUGACGCUCAUGCACGAAAGCGUGGGGGGCAAACAGGAUUAGAUACCCCUGUAGUCCCUGUCUCUUAUAC